GAAUAAGGACAAAGUUUGACUCCAGGAUGAUGUAUAAGGAAUGAUGUAAGGACUUUAUGAAAAGAUCAGAGACACGGAGAUUAACCUUUAAGUCUCUCCAUUGGCAAAAUGACAAUUCCAGACAACCCUCUGCUGCGAGUUGGGUGACACCACAGAGCGAACUCCUAAGGGACAGGGAUGAAAGGUUCUCCAUGUAUGAUCCUGGCUCUCCAGUAAUUCACAAAGUGUUUGUUUAUUUAUGUGGGCAGCGUAGAGCAAGGAAAUAUAAAGAGCGAAAUGCUGGUACAGCUGGCAGAGCAGUUGUUGCCCCAUACAGUUCUGCACUGGCUUGGAGAAGAUGGAUUAAGCACAAACGAGAGGUCUUUCUCUAUCACUGAUGGCUCCAAAGCUUUACUAGGCAGAGAAACUGAAAAAUAUUACUUAUCCAGUACAAUGAAAGUCAGCAGCAUUCCUGUGCUAUCUCCAAGAGGCUGGAGACAAAGGUGUGGAGAGGCGUGCUCAAAGCGAUGUACUCAAAGACAAAGAGUGCACCGCUGGCAGAGUCUGCAGUUGAACCUGAGUCUCAUGUACCAGACUGCAAUGCCUGAAUGCCAGCCUGCCCUUCCUUCCAAGCUGUGCUCCACUCAGGCUCUAAAUACAAAGGAGCAAAGCUCGGAAUAAGUAAAAAAACUAAUAAAAUUGUUAUGUAUAGGAAGGAAUACCUGGAUUUCAUUACUAGGACUGGAGAACAUAAUUGGGGGUAGGGUGUGGUGGCAAGAAUGAACCGAAACUGAUGUAAUAGUGCAGCGCUUGAAGCUUUGCCUGUCCUGCGUGUGAUUCCUCAGGAGUUUCCCAACAACUGUCUGCAGCAAGCAUCUUUUCUGCCUGAACACACAUUCCUUCCUCUGCUCCACAGUUAUCAUUUUAGCACAUCAGAAUAAUGCAGGCAGAAACAGGGAAUGACUUACUCCUUUGUGGGAGGGGAGGAUGUCUACGUGCCUAUUGCGGACAGCAAAGAGGAUGGUUUGGGAUCUUCUGAGAUGCUCUGGUCCCCUGUGGGGCAGGAGCUGUAUCCUUCAGACCCACCGUUUCUGCUGUGAGCCUUCCGCAAGCACCUUUGCCCAGGAUCCUCACACGGCACGCACUUGCUCUCUUGCUCUUUUUCCUUUUCAUCUUCAGGAAACGGCGGCACUGGUUAAACCAAGAUGAAAUUAAAUGUUGUUCUGAAGAACUUUAAAAAAAUAAACUAAGCUUUCCCUGCUCUUUCCAUUCUGUUAUUUGAACCCAUAAACUUCCUGGGUCUGUCUCAUUAGCACAGAGGAAUAUGGAAAUCUCAUGGAAAUUGAGUUUCCAACCCAAGGUUUGCAGCUCCGUAAUUUACAGCUCCUUAAUAGAAGGGUUGUUUCCAGGGUGUUUUCUGCUGGGGAACUGUUUAUCCCAAGCUACCUUCUCAUGAGUUGCUUUCCAGAUGCUUCCCAACCUGUAGGUCCACAAACAACAUCACAGCGUCUUAGAAGCUGAGUCUGUUCACCCUCGGGGGCUUUCCUUGGGCAUAGUCAUAAAGUCUGGAUCUUUGGAGUCCUUCUGGCCGUGUCAUUAGGUCUCUUUCACCUCUCAGGAAUUUAGGACAGCUCCUUUGUGAAAGUGUGGGCUUUGCGUCUGUUGGACCUGGUGGGAAGGGUGGGGAGAGUGGGAAGACCUUUGACAGGGUCCCAGGGAAUCAGGAGGAGCAGCUAGAUGUCAGUAGCAGUUCGUAAGAGAGGGAGACUAUCCCAGCCCUGCUGGGAGUCUGCCGGGGCCCCCAGGAGGAAACACAAACUUUUAUAUGCUGUAGGUAGCCUGGAGUUUCCAGAAGACUCAAAACUGGAAAAGGAUUGGUUCAGUACCUUUAUAUGCUUAGAAAUAAGUGUGAGGACUCACAGACUGGGAAGGAUUGAGGCCAGGAAGGGCAGCAGUGGUUUAUUUAUUGUUUGUCUUCACCUUGAACAGUGCAGGAGAAGAAAAUGGGAAAGGAAAAGGGAAAUAUUUGCUUUCCAGCUUCUUCUCAGCCAGAGCUCCGAGAACAACCGGGACACACACAGUGGACCAACCAGACCAACCAAAUGUCCAACCAGUGGACAUUUGCCAUUAUAAUGGUGAUCAGUGUCUCUCGGUCUCUUGUGAAGCACUGGCCUUACAGGUCAGCUGAGAGAUUCUGCGUCAGCUCUGGGGCUUUCCAUAGGGCUGGAAGUGAUUUUUAAAUAAGAGUGAUCUUUAAAGAAUUGAGUCCUAGUUUAGAAACUUCCAUGGCCACUCUUGAGUCAUCGCUGCGGUUGUUCCAGUGCUGCGUUCUCUUACUUUGCUCCAGCACAUGGAUACCACCGAUUUUGGUGUUGGGUAGAUGAGAUAAAAGAAAUACCGCUGAGACAUCUUCUCUCCAGGGUCUUUUACAACAGGAGACGAGCACCUUUCACCUUGCUUGUGUCAAGUCUGUUUCGGUAGCAACAGAGAAAUUUGUGGCUGUAGAAAAGAACUGAUGCUAGAGAAGAACCAUGGAAUGGUUUGGGUUGGAAGGCACCUUAAAACCCAUCCAGUUCCAAUCCUCUGCCAUGGACAGGGACACCUCCCACUGUAUCUGGUUGCUCCAAGCCCCAUCCAACCUGGCCUUGAACCCCUCCACUGCUCUGGGCAACCUGGGCCAGGGCCUCCCCACCCUCAUCAUGAAGAAUUUCUUCCUAAUGCCCAAUAUAAAUCUUCCCCCUUCCAAUUUAAAACCAUUCUCCCUGUCCCUAUCACUCCACGCUCUUGUGAAAAAUCCCUCUUCAGCUUUCCUGUAGCCCCUUCGGGUACUAGAAGCCACUAUAAGGUCUCCCUGGAGAAGUGAGCCAUACAGCGCUGUACAGAUGAUCCCAAAAUGUUUUUGCUUUGCCACAUCACCUCAUAAGUGACUGCGACUCUUCCUGUAACAGCCAGAUUGCAGAAGCAGCAGCAGAUCCAGUGCUGCUCUUUUAGCUGUGAACCUGCAGGGGGGAGUGGGCAUGGAAAGCCGAUCACUGCUUGGUUUUCUGGACCAACAGACAAUUUAAUUCUCUGAACACCCUCCAGCACAUAACGAGUUUGAAAAUUCUCCAAAUGCAGAACGGCUCGGCAAGCUCCCUGUGGUCAGUUCCCACGGCUGCACCCACCAGAAGUGCUUUAGGGCCCCGAGUUACUCAACUGCUGUCCUCGUUUCGCUGGGCAGAUCAGUGUCAGGACACACACUCGUUCCCAUGCCAAUCCACACUGACUCAGCACCAGCUACACGGCUGCUGGUUGAGACUCCGAGGAGGGAAUGAUCUUUGAUUUGCUUGUGAGGUCUGAGGCACAAUGGCUCUGUGCAUCCAGAACCCUUAGCUGACUUUUUUUCCAUUGUAUUCUCUGUUCAGCUGCACUUUUGCAACUCCCACCCUGCCCCUUCCAGAUCUCCAGAGAAGACAUGUGUACUCUUAAGUACGAUCUUGCAACCGUUCCUGAUGUUCAGAUUGAAACUCUGAAACAGAAGGUUGACCAGUAAAUGACUCAUCCUCCCGUCCUUAUCCCAGUGGAAAGAUUCCUCUGAAAUGAAAGGGAUAGGUUGGAAUAUAGGCCACGUCAGCCAAAAGGGAGUCAGUUGUGGAGAUCAAGAUUUCCUCUACAACCUUAUCACAGUCCCAGGCUGGAUGAUGAAGUAGGAGAGGGCACAGCUCGGAUGUGUCAGCACCAGGCUGAGACCAAGGCAAUGUGUCUCCAGAUGUGCCAUCUCUGACUUUCACAGUUCUCCUAAAGUUGGGGUUUAGCGCAAUGCCCUGUGGGACGCACACAGCCAUCUGAGUUGUCUAUUCGUGGAGAUCAUGGAGGGCAUCGUGCAGGAACGGGCAACGUGUGCUACAAGGUGGGACAGGGAGG